UACGGGGGGGGUAAGCGUUGUUCGGAAUUACUGGGCGUAAAGGGCUCGUAGGCGGCCAACUAAGUCAUACGUGAAAUCCCUCAGCUUAACUGGGGAACUGCGUGUGAUACUGGAUGGCUUGGAUUUGGGAGAGGGAUGCGGAAUUCCAGGUGUAGCGGUGAAAUGCGUAGAUAUCUGGAGGAACACCGGUGGCGAAGGCGACUUUUUGGCCUGUAACUGACGCUGAGGCGCGAAAGCGUGGGGAGCAAACAGG
rnacentral:rRNA from 1 species